CUAAUAUUUAAUCCGAAAUGUAAAACACUUCUAUAACAUACUGUGCGCCACAUUGACGUUAAGUAUACCUCUUAUAAAAUAAACACGACGUAUGAAUCGAGUCGAUUUAAAAACAGCCGCAAUUAUGAACAGCUGACGCUCGCUCUUAAAAGCUUCUCUCUCUUUGUUCGAUAGCAAAAAACUCACUUUUGCUCUUAGCUCUCAGUUUCUCUGAGAUUUGGAUGCAGCUGCAACGAUGUCUGCAGUACUGUCUUAUCAGUGAUAGUUGGGUAAACAAUAACACAACAAACAACAACACAAAUUGUUUGAAAUAAAGUUCGACGGUGUGUUUCAUCCAGAUGAGCUUAUGUACUUGCGUGAUUAUAUACAUGUGUAUGCAUGUGAGAAUGCAAGUCUGCAGAUGUAAAUAAUGUAAGUUCUGUCCACUGUGCUCUGCUUCCGCCGCUGUGUUAUCAGCUGUUUUGCAGGGCACUCGUUUGCGCUCCAAUGUCACUGCUGUCGAUGCAGCGGGAGUAUCUCAACUCUGCUAACCGCUCGCCGGUAGCUAAUGGUUGCAGCAAAGCAGCGGCAGAAGUAGAGGCAGAGAUGAACGACGGGCGGCAGUGUCUGUGUGAUGGGGAUGAUUGGCGGUAUGAUGGUGGUAACGGUCGGGCGCAUGUGGGUGCUGCACUCGACGACAUCAUUGCUGAAGUUUGCUCGCGCGCAGCUUUAUUCUCGCAAUUGCAGUUGUCAUUACAUGCAUGCAUGCAUAUAUUUUUUGUUUUGUCGUUGGAACUAUUACUAGUUAGCGUUUGUGUUGCCGGCUACAGCUCUGGCGACUGUCAUGAUGUUCGACUUUUGGCGCUUAGGUUACGUCGCUGCUGCCUUACGUUGCUACGCGAAUAUCUGCAUGUGUGUGUGCGAUUGUUGGUAGGUCGCUGGCGUGUUAGCUAAUUGCUGUUGUUGUUCCCAGUGUUUUUGUUGCUCACACUGACGCUCAAACAGCAGCGACGGUCGGUUGAUUGUGUUCAAAAUACGUUCUGCCAUUUCGCCUGAGUUCUGAUAGUUUCUCGGUUUGGAUUUCAGUAUCGCAUAGGAAGUUGUCGCGAGCGUUUGUUUUGUGGAGCUUGGUCGAAUAGCUAAAUAGGAAUGCAAAAGGCAAACGUUUGCCGCAAUCAACGCAAAAAUCACUCGCCCGCAAUACCAAUGCAAAUUCGAUAAGAAAAAAAUAGUUUUCGCUACCGCAGAGUCAUCUACAAAAAAAAAAACAAAUGAACCUUCUACGAAUACGGUGAUCCACGGACACAGUGUUUGCCUAUUAACUUUCAAAGUAAUGCAUACAAACGAAUUCAAACUGAACUGAUUUCUGAUUUCUGAAUUUGAAUUUAUCAUUAUUAUCGUUUUAAGUGCAAGGAAUUCAGCUGUGUGCGAUAGACUACAUACAUACAUAUGUACAUAAUUCUUACAAGAAGUAUAGCUCCUCCGACGGGUAUUCGAACUUGUAGUUUAUAGCGAGCACGCGGCGAUGCAUGGUGGUUCAUUGGAAUAUUUAUGAUAUGAACUAGUUAAUAUAAGUAGAAUAAAAAUUAAGUGAAUAAAGUUAAAUCUAAAUCAAAUGAAAUUAUCGUGCAAUUAAAUUCGUGCUACAACAACAUCUUGGAAAGCUACUUGAACUAGAAUGUGGUAUAAGUUUGACUAAUCCAAGUCCAGAAUCGUGCGCGCAGCCUUAAUAAUUACAUAUUCGUGGCUAUGUAUGUGUAUAUAUACAUAUGUAUCAAUUAGACUACGAGCGUUGUAGUAGUGCGCAGUUUAGAAAUCGAUCGUUGCGCAGGCGGAAUUGGAUUCAGUUACACUCGUCGCCGUCAUUAUAAUCUUCGCCUAUCCAUGUUAAUACACAGCGUUGGAAUUGACAUCGACGUGAGAUCUUACCUUGUUGCCUGAGGUAAUGCAUGCGAUAGGUUUCCUAUGCCCUUGAGGAAGGUGUCCGAGUCUCUUAGUCAUAGCCAUAGUUAUAUCCUUAGAUAUAGUGUGUGUAGUUAACCGCCAACUAGACGUGCAUACCUCAACAGGGCUAAUUGGAAUUAAGCCGACAAAUUCAUCGUGUCAACGAGAUCAAUUGAAUUUUUAGAUACCAAAAGGCGAUCGCCGUUAUACCAAAAAUGGAUAUGAAAAUGGAGUUAGUAAGUCAGUCGCAAGAGAUGAGUACCGGUUCUCCAUCAGAGGUGCCAAACGAUCCAGGGAAAAUGUUUAUCGGCGGAUUAAGUUGGCAAACCAGCCCAGAAAGCUUACGAGACUACUUUAGCAGGUUUGGUGAUAUAUCAGAGGCUAUGGUCAUGAAAGAUCCAACGACGCGGAGAUCGAGGGGUUUCGGCUUCAUAACAUUCAGUGAUCCAGCCAGCGUAGACAAGGUUCUAACACAAGGUACUCACGAACUUGACGGUAAAAAGAUUGACCCGAAGGUAGCUUUUCCCCGCAGAGCACAUCCUAAAAUGGUGACGCGAACGAAGAAAAUUUUUGUGGGUGGGCUUUCCGCGCCCACAACAUUGGAGGAUGUCAAAAGCUACUUCGAGCAAUAUGGACCGAUUGAGGACGCUAUGCUUAUGUUUGAUAAGCAGACCAAUCGGCACCGAGGUUUUGGCUUCGUUACAUUUCAGAGUGAGGAUGUGGUAGAUAAAGUUUGUGAAAUUCAUUUCCAUGAGAUCAACAACAAAAUGGUCGAAUGCAAGAAGGCGCAACCAAAAGAAGUCAUGCUGCCGGCCAACUUGGCCAAGACGCGCGCUGCAGGUCGCUCUGCAUACGAUAACAUCAUGUGGGGACUGGGGACAUUACCCGACGGAUUUCCGGCAGCCGCCUAUGCAGCCUAUGCAGCCGGACGUGGUUAUUCGGGAUAUCCAAGCUUCGGUUUGCCUUACCCUGCUGUGGAUCUAACUAAUGGACAACUUACUCCGAACAACAACACGCCUCUUCUCACUCAGGCUCUUUCAGUGAUGAACAAUUAUCAAGCUGCCGCUGCAGCAGCCCAUAGCUUUGGACCUUCCGCUUCUCCCCAUACUGCGACUACGCGGCAAGGUUUCCCUUCGACUAACUCUCCUGGGCCCACCAUUGACAUGUACAGCUCAACUGGUGCUGACAACGUCGGCUAUGUACAGGCAACAAGCCCACAACCUUCUGGAUUUCCUAUAGCUGUGAGUCGGGCACCAUUAAACUAUAGUCCGAUAUAUUCGUUGAACUUUGCGAUGGCUAACAUAUAAAAUGAAUAAGACUGAUUAACCAACAAAACAUAGAAAGAAAUAUAAGCAGUUGCACAAGGGACCACUGAUUCCUGCGGCCUUUACAAAUGGUUACCAUUAAGCAUUGGCGUUAGAUUGCAACAUUUAAUACAUCAGCAACAACAAUAUAUGAAAACCGCAGCUAACAGUAAAACAACUAACACCGUUAUUGGAUACAGCUUGAAUUAAAACACACGGGAAAAAAUGGAAAAGUUACCAAAAGUCAACACAAAACAAAAAUUAUAUAACCAAUACACCAAAAACAAACAUACAUGCUACAUAUACAUAUAUACAAAUAUACAUACUAAUAUUAAUAUAAAUGAAGUUUAUAAAUGAAUAAGUGGAAAGCAAACAAGCUUACAGAAAUAAAUUUAUAUUUAUUUAUAUACAUACACAUACCAUACGUGUACAUAAUGUGUAUGUAAGGAAUAUAUUUAUAUUUAUGGAUAUGCAGAUAAGCAGUCACAUAUUCAUAUAAGCACAAUUAUUGCGUGUGUAUGCAUGAAAAGCAAUCAACACCUCCAAAUCUCUUUAAGUUCGCUGCAAAAAUGAAUUGCAAUCAAAAGUUUAUGUUUUGAUAAUUGUAAAAAAAGACACGCUUGCUUUAGUGCAAAAUAACUAAAACUAACUACAGCAGCUUGAAAUAGUACAGCAACAACAAUACCAAUGCCAAUUACGAGUACAUUGUGUAUUGCCGAGUAAAGAAGAGAAACGAAGAACACAAACACAUAUGCGUACACACACAACGGCCAAAUAUUCGCAUUAGCUUUACAACAACAGUUCUAUGCUUUCGUCCAAAUGGCGACCGAUAAAGAAGCGAAAUCAAAAACUUACCCAUUUCCAUCAAAGAGCCUUCGAUAGUGAUGAAACUAGUGAUUAAUUUUAGUCAAAUUUAGUGCGUCUACUGUUGAUAUAUUGAUUAAUAAAUUAUAUUUUAAUUGUUUACAAAUACAUGGGGUUAAAUAAGAAUUAUGUGUGAGGCGCUUUAAUUAACUUGCGUUCUGUUUACGAUAGAAUUUCCAUAAAUCGCAACAACAAAAACUUCUCAAAGUAUGAUUAUCAUACUUUCCAAGCCAAUCAUUAGCUUCAAAUUAAUUAUUUCCAUAAUUUGUUUUUUGUAACAUACAUAUAUAUUUUUUAAGAAAAUAUUUUAUAGCUAAACUGAGCUUGUCCGGCAAUUUCAAGUAUAUUUGCGGUAACAGAAAGCUUAAAACUAUUGAGCAGACACCCAAAGAGCAAAAUAUAGAAGCAGAUCAUAAAUUGGACACGUUGCAUGACUAAAAGCUUAGUUAAGGAUUUUUUGCUAACGCAAUUUGGAUAAUAUUUUUUUUUUUGUUAAUCUCGUAUUUGGCAUUACAAAAUAAAAUAAAAAAUUAAUUCAAAUGUUUAUUAAAUUAUUUUUUUAAUACAUUAUUUGCAACCCACACACAAAAUAUACAAACUGCAAUAAUUUUUAUAUUGGAUUGCACUCUGGUCAUUGACUUAAGUAUUGAAUAUUCAUGAAAUACAUAAAAUAAUUACUUUGACGUUGAUGUUGCAGCAAUUCAUGCCGCUUUUGCGAGGUUUUCCGUACCGAAUCAAAGUACAUUUUCAUCAAAUUUUCUAUUUUUUUUCUAUUUUGUGAUAUCCUCACAUUCAGAGCUAAGCUCAUUAUAAAAGCUUUCGAGCUUUCAUUAACUAUAUUUUUAAAGCAUGAUUGGUUUGCUUUUAUUAUACCAGGUCUUUUGAGGUAUAAAUUUGUAAUUUUAAACACCGCCGCGCCAAAACUAAAAAAACUUUCGGUCACAAAGCCCCAUAAACUGCUAAGAUGCUCACACAUCCUUCAAUUCUGAAAUACUGAAAUACUGAAUCAGUGAGUCCUAUGAAAGUUGCCAAAGCAAUGCUCGCUCCUUCUAUUACAAGAGCGGCCAUUUUACAAACCUACACAUAAAUACAUAUGUACAUACAUACAUACAUACAACAGGCAUAUAAUGGACCAAUUAACAAAAUACUUUAAAGCAACAAUAACUACCAUAAUUGAAACUUUAUUGAAAUAAAGCGCAGCCAACAUAACGCCAUUGCCCUGCGUGAGAGUCAUAGGCGACACUUACAACAACAAAAUGCAAAAAAUGCAAUUAAAUCCUAGUGUUUGCAAAAACUGAGUGUGAUGCAACACUUGCUUUAUACUACCUACAACAAAAUAUUUAUAUGCGUAAAUAUGAAAAAGAACAAACCUAGUGGUAAUAAUUUAAAACACCAAUUUUAAUAGUGCGGCACUUCAUACAUACAUACUUACAAUAAAAAUAAAUAUAUUAACUAAACACAUUAAUUAAUGAACUUAUAUAUACAUACAUACAUACAUAUGUGAGGAUUAUUUAAAAAAUAAAAAACAAAAACAAAAAUACAAAAAACAAAAAGCAAAUAAAACAAAACGAAAAAUGAGCAUUAACUAAAACAAAUAUACAAUACAGAAGGAUAUUUAAAUUACAUUACACUUUAUAUGUACAAGUAUAGAAAAUAAACAAAUAAACAAUAAGGGCAACAUCAAUAUGUUCGAGUGUCUGUGUCGAGCAGGUCGGUGCACAAAUUACAAAGACGACUGACAACAUACAUACAUAUGUACAUACAUACACAUGGAAAGGAAGGAAUCGUAAAAUAAGAAGUGCAGAUCAAUACUCGAACACACACACACAAAAGUUGCAAUAAAAGUAUAAACUGAAAGCCGUAAAAUCAAAUUCGACACAAUGACGACGACUCCAAACACUGAACACGAAGUUAUUCGGACGGAAGAAGAAGAUCGGGGAUUGACCAAAUGUGUUGCGUUAGUACUGCAAACUGGCAGUGGAAGCGAAAGAGAAAGAGGAAGAAAGAAAGAAAUUGUUAUAACUAGGAAAUAAUUUGCGUUCGAAGAGGACGGAGAAGAAAUCAUUUAUAAAACAAUAAAAAGUUUGCACAAACGCAAAUAAAUAUUCUUACUUACAUAUAUAGUAUACAACUUAUACAUAUAUAAAAAUAAGUAAGUGAAUAUAUAGUAUAUAUACAUUAUAUAUAAACUUGAAUACAUACAUACGUACGAACAUAUGUAUGAGAUGCAUUGAAGAAAUGGAGUGGCACUUAACAUGGUUAGCGCGGACCACAACCUGGUGCUUAGCUAAACUUAGUGACUAAGCGACGAAAUGGAAGAUUGCAAUCGCGAGAUGCUAACCACUAAACAGUGAAAAGCCGGCGGAAGGAAAUAUCAUUGCAGUUUAUAAAGACAAAUGAAAAUUAAGGAAAUUUGUAGCUUUUAGAUAGGAUGAAAUUGAGGUAGCGCAACUGCAAAACAGCAAAAACCGAAAAAAUACAAAAACAAAACCAAAAACACAUAUGAAAAUACAAAUAAUUUGAUUUAUUUAAAAGCUAAAUUGCAAAAAGCGUGCCGAGAGAGCGCGGUUGAAGCCCAUGGUGAAGAAAGAGUUGCAGAGCCCUUGUGCCCAGAGCGGCGAAAGCAGCGAAUAGCGGCUGCUACCUGAGAAAUCAAAGCAGACGGCUGCACUCUAUUGUAUGUACCAGAUAAUUUGUAAAUUGACUCUCAAGAGCACUUACUCGUAGUUAGAAAUGGAUGAUGCAUAAUAGUUAGAAGAAGUGUAGGGAAAAGCUAAAGGUUGCCAAGGAAGCGGCAGCAACAUCUGAGGCAUACAAGCAUUUUUUAGCUAAAUAGCCAAAGUGGCUUAAUGAUUGAUCCGCUAGCGCCCACGCAAUUGUAGGUGGCUUGAAAGGUCAGUCCGACGACGGUGUGAUGAUUAAUUGAAUGACAAUUGUCCAAUGAUGUUACUUUAAAUUAAAGAAAACAAACAAACGCAAAGAUAAUUAAAAUAAUAAACAAAAAAAAACUUCUUACCAAGAUAUUAAUGAAUAUUUAAAGAUAGUGCAACUUUUUAAACAUAUAAGUAUUUAUUUAUUAACUUCGAUGCUGCGGCAUCCAACAUACUUACAUACAUACAUAUACACAAACACAGAUGCAUAUAUCAAAGAUUAAUAUAGCAUACAUCCAUACAAACAUGCAUACGUACCCCGUAUUUAUUUGCUAAGAAGCUAUUAUGGCUGGCUGAACUCUGUAAGGAAUAUUAAAAAUUAUUAUGAACUUUUACACAAUAAAGAAUAAGCGUAGGAAGCCAAAGACAGGUGUGUAAAUUAUACAUUUUACUGGCGCGUAGUUGAGCCCGUGAGGGACUCAAUACAAAUAAAGUUGAAAAUGCACCAAAUGUGUAUGUACAUACAUAAGAUAAAAAAAAAUAAUAAUAAUAAUAACAUACAUGCAUACUCAUAAAUAUACAUACAUAUAUACUGUAAAACAAUGCAAAUAUAGAUAUACAUAAAUAUAUAUUUUUAAGAAAUGUUCUAAAAGCAAUAAUUACAAACAACAACAAAGAAAAAAUAAAACAAAACAAAAUAAAAUAAAUAUUGUGGAAAAGCUAUGUAUUGAUAAGUGAAAAGUAAUCAAUGAAUAAGUGAAUAUAUAGUCUAAUAAUAUAUACAAAAUAUACAUGUAAAACAAAUAUUUAUCUAAUAGUACUAAGCUAAAAUAUUAUUAUACAUAAAAGUAUUAACCUAAAAAUACAAAAGUAAUAAACUAAAUAUAAGAACGGUACCCUAACAGAAAACCUACAAUCUGUCAAAAAGGAAUGACUGUUUAGAGAAUACACAUGUACGAGUACUAAAUAGUUAACUUCUUUUGGAAUACAUUUCGAACUUUUCGUUUAAGCGCCCGAGCGCACCCUGUUGAAGUAAUUAUUUCAUACUUGCAAAAGUCAUUUCCAAGCAUUUUAUCAACUACUUCUUUUUAAACUACAGUAAAAGAUACGUAAAUAUUGUUUAAAAAAAAAUUGGAUCCAGCAAAACUUAACUACAUUUCGAAAUAUAAAAACAAACAAUUUUGAAAAAAUUCAUUUUUUAAGUGUUAGGAGACAAAAAUUUCGCAAUAUUCGCAAACUAGUGUUGAUUUUUAAAAAAUAUGUGCCAAGGUAUGUGGCAUUUUAAUGCUGGCCGAAAAUAUCAUUUGUAAAUAAGAUAAAAUCUCUGUUUUCUUAAAAAGUUGUAACGUAUUAAAAAUUAUUGAAAAUAUUUGAAAACUUUAUCUUUACUAAAUUGGUGAAAUCGGUGGUUAUUCGAAAUAUUUUUAUAUAUUUUUUCGGAUUUUUUUAGGAUAGGCUCCAUAUAUUUUAUUGCUAUAGAGAUGCACAUGAUAAUGAAUAUGAAAUUAACAGAGUAUAUAAAUGGCAUUAAUAUAAUUUUCUUUGCAAUUUUUUACAAUUUCUGCCAUAAUUUUAAUUCAUUUUGUACCUAUUCCAAGCGUUUAGUCCAAAGUUAGGCCGCACUGCAACCUUUACAUUUCUUUCAAUUUGCUAAAUUGCUGCUGACCUGAGUUUCCUUUCAACUAUAAUAGAGAAUACCAGUGGCAUGUAUGUCAUUACUUUAAUUUAAAAAAAUAUCGUAUUAGCUUACAACUUUGUGGAAAAAAAUCAAGAAUUGACAUGAAUAAUAAAAUAAGAAUUCACGAAUAGUCAAAUGAAUCGAUACAUGAAAAACGCGUCCUUUAGAACAAAAUCAAUUUUAGUCAAUUAAAAACCGAAUACAUUUAAUCAUUAAGCUAGGAAAAAGCAAAUAAGCAGAAAAAGUUACGUAUACAUGAAUACAUACAUAUAUGUAUGUAAAAUAGUUUCUGUUAAGUUUUUAAGAAUUUAUUCAAUUCUUUCUUUUUUGCUAUUAAACUUUUACCAUUAGAACAAAUUUGAGAUGAACUAAAUAUAAAUACGCAAGGCGCAACGCCUCAGCGUUUUUGUAAGCGUUAAAUCGCAAAGCUUUAAAUACUUGAAGUUUUAUAUUAAUCCAAGAAACACAAAUGUGGCAUGCUCUAGGGGGCAACUUAUAUAUGUAACACCACAAGUUGGUGGAACCCCGUGGCAUAGCCGGACUUUUGUCAAUUUAGGCCAAAACAGCAAGUAGAACAUUAAAGACGAGCUAAAAGAACACUUGAGGGCACAACCGAAUGCCGCUUGCAUAAAAUGACAAUUUAACAUACUAAAUACUUAAUAAUAACAUAAAGAAAUGAUAAAAUUAUGAAAUGAUAAAAACUAGCAAUUAAAUGGUACACUUUUUUACUCAAGAACGUAAGAACGUAAAUGAGAACAAAGUUGAUUAUUACGAAGAUAUAUAUACAUAAAAUAAAACUAACAAGUAUACAUACACACAUAUCAUUUCUCCUUUUUCUAAAGCCGACAGACCGAAGAGAGACCUUAAACCAUUUCAUUUACGGUAUUUUACGACAUUAGAUAAAUAUGUAGGUACACUUAUGAAGUAUGCAUACGCAAUGUUUUGCUUAAGAAUCACACCUGAUAGCAAAUUCGCAAUUAGACACCAAUUAAUCAAAGCGUUGCGAGUCACUUGCUAUGUCUCUCAAAGAGCCAAAUGUUAAUUCGAUAUUUGUUGUUUGUAGCUUUCUGUUUACACGCGACUGUCGCAGCUUAAGACUUUUGUAUAAGUGAAAUUUUGAAUGUAUAUACAUACAUACUGACAUACGAGUGCAUAAGUUCCACAGCUUUAGAACUACAAUUUUCUUUCGCAUUUGCCUUACUGAAGCAUAUACAUGGAGCCUGUGGACGAUCUGAAGUCAUCACACACCCUCACUGUUGUCCUUAUCUCACACAUAUACACACAAACAUAAAUUUCACUUCAUUUACCUACGAGCAACGACAAUUUGUAUAUGUAUUUAUAGUAGUAAAGCAAUUACUGCAUACAACAAAUACAAGCUACUUAUUUCAUUGAGUCAACACACACAAACACUAACACAAAUGCACUUUUAAACGUACACACACGAUUUUGCUAUAUCGAAUUCUUUGCGCGUUCUUCUGCGAUGGAAUUCCUAACAAACACCUUCACUAUAUUGACAAUAUCUUAUAUAUAUAUAUAUAUAUAAAUAUUUUACACUAUACUAUAUAUAUAUAUACAAAAACACAUAUAUAUAAUCAAUGUAAAGAGAAACACUUCAAUGCGAAAAGCAAAUAGUUAAGUAACAAAAUAUAUAUACCAUACAUAUAUAUAAAUGAAAAGCAAUGUAUUUAUUUACAAGAGCCAAAACGGUGGUAGAUAAAAAUACUUGCUAAUUACUACGAAACACAUGAAUAAAUUGAAUAAAUUGUUGAAUGGGAGUGUCAAAUGUGUACGAAAUAAAUAUGUUUGUUCUUUUUCCACUGCAAAAGUGGGGAAAUUAUAAGAGUUAAGCGACACUCUUGUUUGUUGACAUAAACAGCACGAAAAGCUGCUGAUCAUUAGAAGACACAAUAUCCAUUACUUUUAUCACUACUCAUUUUUUAUCGAUUGAUUAAGAAGUCAUGAAUUUCAAAUACUAACUGUAAAAGGUCAAUAAGAAUUUAGAAUUGGUAACUGUCUACUGGACGGUGCGCAGUAUGUACUUGUGUUCGCGAAACCAAUAAUUGUAUUAUGUAACCAAAUAAAAUCUAGCAAUGAUUUCCAUCAUAAAACACAGUCAUAUAGCCCAUGGAACGAUAGAAAAGCCCACGCUAUUUCGAAAAAGGGCGCCAAUAUCCAGUCUUUUUAGUGUUAUGUGAUGGUAACUGCAUACAACAGCUCGGUGCACAUCUAUCGAGCUUUUUACUGAUAGCAUAAAGUAUAUUUAGCACUUUAGAAAACCAAGCCUCUAAUCAAGAUUGAAUAUUGGCGGCGCAAACAGAGUACCCGACGACAUUGUUCUUUUCCUAGAAGUGAGUACCUUCCACUCAACUUUUUAUAGCAAACUAAAUUAGUUUGAACAUUUCUGAUAUUGCGCCUGCAAGUACAUACGCAGACACACCUGUAACUGCAAUGUCCAAACGCAUCUUUAUAAAGAGAAGCCUUUGGGCAACUUGCAUGAGAAUGAGCGAGAAAUUAAUGGCACACAGGAAAGGAAAGUAAGUAAUUUCUUCAUUACACACUUUAUUGCUAAUUUGACUUGUGUAAAUAAAUAUGCAUCUAUGCAUGUAAUAUUGACAUUCGCAUUGUUAACUCAGUACUAACUAUACAACAAUUAUACAAGGAAGACAUUUGCUGUUAAUUUUCUUAAAUAGAUAUUAUUACUACACUUAAAUAUAUAUGCCAAUACAGAAAGAUACUGAGAAUCUUUGUAAAUUAAAGAGAUACAAGAAUAUUUGUCUAUGAUUUUCAACCAUUUUUAACCAUAUUAGCCAUUAAUAUCAUUGAGGAGAAUACCAGAAUCCAAAAUUCAAAAGUGAAAACAAUUUGUAAUUAAAUAUACCGAAAAAGGUUCAACAGCAAAGAAAUAUAAACAAGCGAAUUUGUAAAAUAAUAAGCAACCAAUACUUAGUAUAAAUUUACCACACUUAAACGUACAUAUGUAUGUAUGUGGAAAUUCGAGUAGAGUACAUGAAAAUGUAUGUGUUUAACUAAAAUUACAAAAAAGAAUUUUCUUAAAAAUCAAACACUACUACAAACACAAGAAUUUUUAACUGGACGAAAUUGAAGGAAAUCAAAAUAGUAAUGAAAAUAACGGACUAACUGGUAAACAGAAUUAUGAUAUAUAUAAAGUUAGUAUUAAAAUUGAGGCGUCCGAAGGCAUGAAAAUUACUUCUAUAAUUUUUUUGAUUUCAUUCGGGUUUUGUAUUAUUUUUGCAAGAAAGCAACCAUGACACCACAAGAAUCAAUGAAGAAACCAAAAAAAAAUAAGUAUAUAAUAUUUGAGAUGUUGAUAUGUUUAGUAUAAAGACAAUUUGAACGUAAGUUCGAAGGAAAAAAGCUGUAAUAAUUGUUACUAAAACAACUCAUAUGAAUGAAGAGGGACAUUUGAAUUCGAAAACAAAACUGUUAAUGCUGAAAUUUGAAAGAAUGGCGAAAAAUGUUGAUCAUUAAGAAGGGCUAACUGCAUAAUAUAAUUGAGUUAAGGAAAAUUGAAAAGUGCAAACGGGCAAAGUGCAUAAGCAUUAACAGUAAAUAUUUAGCAGAAAGUUAAUUGAGAAUGAAACAGUUAAAUGUAUGUAAGAGUAAUAUAUUAAGGAAAACAAUAUUAUUAUUACUAUAUAUUGGAUGAUGGUGAUUUUAAAGCAAAAAUACACAAAAAUCGAAAUUAAAGUUAAAAGAGAACUUUAGAUUUAAGCAAUUAACAAUUCUAUGAAGUAUAUAUAUAUAUAUAAAUGAAAUGAUUGAAUUAAUACAAGAAUCAAUAAAAAUACCACAAUAAAACUAUGAACAUUGUUCAAAGGAAAUAAAUUUGA